rnacentral:rRNA from 1 species
AGAGUUUGAUCCUGGCUCAGAUUGAACGCUGGCGGCAGGCCUAACACAUGCAAGUCGAACGGUAACAGGAAGCAGCUUGCUGCUUCGCUGACGAGUGGCGGACGGGUGAGUAAUGUCUGGGAAACUGCCCGAUGGAGGGGGAUAACUACUGGAAACGGUAGCUAAUACCGCAUAACGUCGCAAGACCAAAGAGGGGGACCUUCGGGCCUCUUACCAUCGGAUGUGCCCAGAUGGGAUUAGCUAGUUGGUGAGGUAACGGCUCACCAAGGCGACGAUCCCUAGCUGGUCUGAGAGGAUGACCAGCCACACUGGAACUGAGACACGGUCCAGACUCCUACGGGAGGCAGCAGUGGGGAAUAUUGCACAAUGGGCGCAAGCCUGAUGCAGCCAUGCCGCGUGUAUGAAGAAGGCCUUCGGGUUGUAAAGUACUUUCAGCGGGGAGGAAGGGGAUGUGGUUAAUAACCGCAUCCAUUGACGUUACCCGCAGAAGAAGCACCGGCUAACUCCGUGCCAGCAGCCGCGGUAAUA